rnacentral:tRNA from 1 species
GGGGUUGUGGCGGAAUUGGUAGACGCGCUGGUCUUAGGAACCAGUUCCAUUCGGGAGUGUGGGUUCGAGUCCCACCAGCCCUA